rnacentral:sRNA from 1 species
GAGGCCGGGCGGGAGGAUGGGGACGUGGUCCCCGCAGGUUCUGGAUAGACUUGCGAAUUGAGACGCAAUUGACCCUGAAAGUCACAGCCCAAAAUGGAGUUAAUCCUGACUGGGAGAAGAAAGUAAUUGAAUAUUUUAAGGAAAAGCUGAAGGAAAAUAAUGCUCCUAAGUGGGUACCAUCACUGAACGAAGUUCCCCUUCAUUAUUUGAAACCUAAUAGUUUUGUGAAAUUUCGUUGCAUGAUUCAGGAUAUGUUUGACCCUGAGUUUUACAUGGGAGUUUAUGAAACGGUUAACCAAAACACA